AGAAGAAGAAGAAGAAGAAGAAACGUACAUAUUCGUGAGUGAGCUGUUCUUCCGAAACUGGUCUCUCUGCUGCACGGUCUCCAGAGACGACACAAAGCAUUCAGGAAUGCCAUUCAUCAAGGUCAGCUACCUCCACAGUGUGUGACACGGACACAUCUGGGGUUGUUUUGGGGUGGUUGUUCCCCCCCCCCCCCUCCCCAAGUUAGGCUCUCCGUUUAGAAGCAAAAGCAUGUGGGACACCAACCAUGGAAACCUCGUUGCACUUGUGAGAACCGCGGGAGGCAACACUGAGUGCUGAUCUAGCAUCAGUUCAGGAAGUGAGGACCCCCAUGAGAUCCAUGACAAACACCUACAAGGGCUGGGAUUUUUUUUUUUUUAUUAUCGAGAUAUUAAAAAGAUACAGUGCUGGAAAUCACGAUCAACUUUUAUUGAAGUCGUUUUUUUUUUUUUAUAUUAUCUGGCUUUUAUUUUUUAUUUUUUUACACAGCUAUAAGCCUAAUUGGCACUUGAAUCGAUUGUGUUCAAUCUAAAGCCUACCAACAACACAACGAAACAAUGGAUUGAGCUCGGUUGAUGGAAAGUUCAGGAAUAAAAUGCUCCAGUAAAUAAAUAUAAUGGUUGACUAA